GCCUCGGUAGCUAAGUUGGGAUAGCGUUAGACUGAAGAUCUAAAGGUCGGGUGUUCGAUCCACCCCCGAGGCA
rnacentral:tRNA from 1 species